UCUCUUGGCCAAUUAAAGGCGCAUUCACGCAGCUCCUCCACCACUCCCAACUCAAUUUCCAACCAGCCCGGCCACCUUUCCCAGCCCUAGCUCACUCACCCUCUCGGUUCCAUUAGAGCAAGGUUCUGCUCGUCGCUCUCUCUCUCUCUCUCUGAUCUUCCUCUGGGGAAAUCUUCCGAGCUCGUCGUGCUCUUGGUAAGCAUCUUGAACUGUUAGUUGGCCUAACAAUCUUAGACAGAAAUUCAAACCCAACCUAUCUGUUCCUCUUUCUUUUUCUGAAUUUAAUCAGCACUCAAACUUGUGAAGCCAAUAUCUUCUCGAUCCGACUGGCCUCCGAUUGACUUGAUUCCCUUCCAAAAUUUAUCUAAAAUCAAGCUCUAUCUAUCUAUGUCAAUCUUAUAAUUUAUGGAACUCAGUUUGUAUUUAUAUUAAAUUUAUGAGUGAUGUGGUUGUUUGCUCUGUGUCCCGUAGUAAUCACCGAGAGUUCGCGAACGACGAUGAGAAGAAGCUUGGAGUCCGGAACCGCAAGUUAGGAAGCUAGU
rnacentral:lncRNA from 1 species